rnacentral:rRNA from 1 species
CGUACACUCCUGCGGGAGGCAGCAGUAGGGAAUCUUCCACAAUGGGUGCAAACCUGAUGGAGCAAUGCCGCGUGAGUGAAGAAGGUCUUCGGAUCGUAAAGCUCUGUUGUUAGAGAAGAACACGUGCUAGGUAACUACUAGCGCCUUGACGGUAUCUAACCAGAAAGUCACGGCUAACUACGUGCCAGCAGCCGCGGUAAUACGUAGGUGACAAGCGUUGUCCGGAUUUAUUGGGCGUAAAGGGAGCGCAGGCGGUCUGUUUAGUCUAAUGUGAAAGCCCACGGCUUAACCGUGGAACGGCAUUGGAAACUGACAGACUUGAAUGUAGAAGAGGAAAAUGGAAUUCCAAGUGUAGCGGUGGAAUGCGUAGAUAUUUGGAGGAACACCAGUGGCGAAGGCGAUUUUCUGGUCUAACAUUGACGCUGAGGCUCGAAAGCGUGGGGAGCGAACAGGAUUAGAAACCCCGGUAGUCCCA